rnacentral:rRNA from 1 species
CCUACGGGUGGCAGCAGUGGGGAAUAUUGCACAAUGGGGGAAACCCUGAUGCAGCGACGCCGCGUGAGUGAAGAAGUAUUUCGGUACGUAAAGCUCUAUCAGCAGGGAAGAAAAUGACGGUACCUGACUAAGAAGCCCCGGCUAACUACGUGCCAGCAGCCGCGGUAAUACGUAGGGGGCAAGCGUUAUCCGGAUUUACUGGGUGUAAAGGGAGCGUAGACGGCAGCGCAAGUCUGGAGUGAAAUCCCAUGGCUUAACCAUGGAACUGCUUUGGAAACUGUGCAGCUAGAGUGCAGGAGAGGUAAGCGGAAUUCCUAGUGUAGCGGUGAAAUGCGUAGAUAUUAGGAGGAACACCAGUGGAGAAAGCGGCUUACUGGACUGUAACUGACGUUGAGGCUCGAAAGCGUGGGGAGCAAACAGGAUUAGAUACCCCGGUAGUC